rnacentral:rRNA from 1 species
AUUGAACGCUGGCGGCAGGCCUAACACAUGCAAGUCGAGCGAGCGGCGGAAGGGUGAGUAAUGUCUGGGAAACUGCCUGAUGGAGGGGGAUAACUACUGGAAACGGUAGCUAAUACCGCAUACCAUCAGAUGUGCCCAGAUGGGAUUAGCUAGUAGGUGGGGUAACGUCUCACCUAGGCGACGAGCCCUAGCUGGUCUGAGAGGAUGACCAGCCACACUAGAACUGAGACACGGUCCAGACUCCUACGGGAGGCAGCAGUGGGGAAUAUUGCACAAGGGUCGCAAGCCUGAUGCAGCCAUGACGCGUGUGUGAAGAAGGCCUGCGGGGUGGAAAGCACUUUCAGCGGGGAGGCGUUACCCGCAGAAGAAGCACCGGCUAACUCCGUGCCAGCAGCCGCGGUAAUAC